rnacentral:rRNA from 1 species
UCCUCCCUCUUUCUUCGUGCUUAACACAUGCAAGUCGAACGGAAAGGCCCUGCUUUUGUGGGGUGCUCGAGUGGCGAACGGGUGAGUAACACGUGAGUAACCUGCCCUUGACUUUGGGAUAACUUCAGGAAACUGGGGCUAAUACCGGAUAGGAGCUCCUGCUGCAUGGUGGGGGUUGGAAAGUUUCGGCGGUUGGGGAUGGACUCGCGGCUUAUCAGCUUGUUGGUGGGGUAGUGGCUUACCAAGGCUUUGCCGGGUAGCCGGCCUGAGAGGGUGACCGGCCACAUUGGGACUGAGAUACGGCCCAGACUACUACGGGAGGCAGCAGUGGGGAAUAUUGCACAAUGGGCGGAAGCCUGAUGCAGCAACGCCGCGUGCGGGAUGACGGCCUUCGGGUUGUAAACCGCUUUCGCCUGUGACGAAGCGUGAGUGACGGUAAUGGGUAAAGAAGCACCGGCUAACUACGUG